UUGCGAGUUUCACUUUUUCUGGAUUCCGUCCGAAAAAAAUGACAUUUCACAUUUCCCUUAUUGUGAGUUUCGGACGGAAAAUUUUCCACUUCGAAAAAUUUCCCCCUAUUGUGAACUUUUUUUUCGGGUGAAACUUCAAGUCUUUCACAACUCUUUCUUUCACUCAAAAUUUGGCGGCGGAAAAGGACAACUUUGGCGAAAAAUGAGUAAAACAACAAAUAAAAGGCAAUGCGAGUUGCUUUUGAAUAAAAUGCAAUUACACCCCGAUAUCGCCAGAGGCUAUUCAAAGGAAAAUAAAGAUAAAAUUUCAGAGUUCUGGACGACAACGGCAAAUGAAGUUUUAUAAUUGGGGGCACACCAAAUUUUUGUUUUACUGGGGGCAAGGAACUGGAAAGAACAUCCAACAAAUAUUUGAAGGCUUUUUUAUUUACUCGAUAGUGUUGAUGAAAUCUGAAAAAAAAGUUUGAUUCGUAAUCUACAUUUAUAUUCACAAAUUCUUUACAUGAAACUUAUUACUUACAAUGGCUCACGCAACUCCAAAGGGUUUGAAGAAUCUCUGAGUUGUCUUCUGAUUGAUUUUUGUUUUUGUUUUUCUUCCUCAUCAUUAAUCAUUUCCCUCAGGGCUAUGCUAUACAUGUUGCUAAAGUAAAAUAUAAAAACAAUUCUAAACAAUUUGUGUAAUAAAAUAUCAUACUGUUCAA